UACGGAAGGCAGCAGUGGGGAAUAUUGCACAAUGGGCGCAAGCCUGAUGCAGCCAUGCCGCGUGUAUGAAGAAGGCCUUCGGGUUGUAAAGUACUUUCAGCGGGGAGGAAGGCGAUGCGGUUAAUAACCGCGUCGAUUGACGUUACCCGCAGAAGAAGCACCGGCUAACUCCGUGCCAGCAGCCGCGGUAAUACGGAGGGUGCAAGCGUUAAUCGGAAUUACUGGGCGUAAAGCGCACGCAGGCGGUCUGUUAAGUCAGAUGUGAAAUCCCCCGGGCUUAACCUGGGAACUGCAUUUUGAACUGGCAGGCUUGAGUCUUGUAGAGGGGGUAGAAUUCCAGGUGUAGCGGUGAAAUGCGUAGAGAUCUGGAGGAAUACCGGUGGCGAAGGCGGCCCCUGGGACAAAGCUGACGCUCAGGGUGCGAAAGCGUGGGGAGCGAAACGAGGAUUAGGAUACCCGGU
rnacentral:rRNA from 1 species